GUCCCCUUCGUCUAGAGGUCUAGGACACUGCCCUUUCACGGCGGCAACAGGGGUUCAAAGCCCCUAGGGGACA
rnacentral:tRNA from 1 species